ACCUUUGGAAACGCAAGGAUUUCUUGUCAGCCUUACUGAACUUUCUUAGAACUGCACUGCAAUGUACAACUGCCCAUCUUCUUUCCUUCCUUCCAUCCCCAUCUCCCAGCCUUCUUUGGCUUCCUCUUUACUUUCCUCCCUGGCAUUUUCCCCAGUAAAUCUCAUCCCAUCUUGGCUGUCUCAGAGGACCUGGACUAGCACGUCUUCCCAUAACAGAUCUGGAUAAAUCAAAAGGAAGAGAAAGAGAUGGCUUCCAGGAAGGUGGACAGCAUGUAUAAAAGUAUGGAGAUGAGAAAGCCCAAGAUAAGCUGAAUAAAUAAAUAAGAAGUUCAAGAAACUCCUUUACCCUCCUGAUGUUCUGAAUCUACGGAAGCCGCACCAGGAUCAUCCAGCUGCCUUGACAGCCAAAAUUAAACAGGCACAUAAAUGAAUCCCUCAUAAAAUGAUAGGAGGAAAUGUUAAGUACUGUCAAAAAAAAGACAAAGAAAGAAACAGUUUAAGGCUGAGGGAUGGUGUGACCACUUUAAACCAGAUGGUCAGGGAGGGUUUCUUUGAGGAGGAUUUCUUUAAGCAGAGACAGAGGGACAAAUGAUGUCACAGAAAGAGCCAGCUAUGCAAAUCUCCGACAGAAGAGCAUUGCAGGGAUAGAGAAUAGAAAAUGCAAAGGUCCUGAGGUGGGAAAAAGUUUGGGGAAGGACAAAAGAUGAGUGUGGCUGGAGCAGAGUGGGUGAGGCGGAGUAGGGGCACAUGAGGUCAGAGGGGUAAAGGUGAGAGGGGGCCAUGCUCUGGGUCGUGGGAUGUGCUCAGGGUGAGGUGGAGCCAUGGAGGGUUCUGAGUAGGAUUCAGUUACAGGCUCUGAUUUAGGUCCUAACAGGAUCCUUCUGACCACUGUGGGGAGAACAGACGGUAGAGGAAUGAGGGUAGAAGCCAGGAGACCAGCAGGAGUAACAGCUCCUUCAGCGGGCUGGUGAGAGGGUGAAAUGAAGCCUGCCUCAGUCCAUCCAGCUGCGAGUGGCAAACCUAGGAUUAGAAUCCGACCUUCUAGUUCCCAGCCCCACCCACUAGUUCACAAAACUCACAGGUGCCAGGCACUCAUUGGUUCGUGACUCUGUUUACUGACAAGCUGUCAUCAAUUCCUCACAACAACCUGAGACCAACAGAAAACUCAAGGCCUCCAUCUGUGCCAGGCGGGGAUGGCGUGAGGAGGAGGCUGGGCCGUGCAGGCUGUUCAGGUGGAAUGUGGCCGAAGGGCCAUCCAGCCCCACCCCACCUCUCCCACCAAGUCACCUGUUC